rnacentral:rRNA from 1 species
AAUCAACGCUGGCGGCGUGCCUCAGACAUGCAAGUCGAACGCGAAAGUUUCCUUCGGGAGAUGAGUAGAGUGGCGCACAGGUGAGUAACACGUGAGUAAUUUACCUUCGGGUGGGGAAUACUAACCGGAAACGGUUGUUAAUACCGCAUAAUGCAGCGGCAUCAAUGAUGACAGUUGUUAAAGCGGGGGAUUGGAGCAAUCCGACCUCGCGCCUGAAGAGAAGCNCGCGGCAGAUUAGCUAGUUGGUAAGGUAAUGGCUUACCAAGGCGACGAUCUGUAACCGGCCUGAGAGGGCGGUCGGUCACACUGACACUGAAUAACGGGUCAGACUCCUACGGGAGGCAGCAGUCGGGAAUUUUGGGCAAUGGGCGCAAGCCUGACCCAGCAACGCCGCGUGAAGGAUGAAG